rnacentral:rRNA from 1 species
ACGGAGGAUGCAAGCGUUAUCCGGAUUUAUUGGGUUUAAAGGGUGCGCAGGCGGAACAAUAAGUCAGUGGUGAAAUCUCUCGGCUCAACCGGGAAACUGCCAUUGAUACUGUUGUUCUUGAGUACAGUUGAAGUGGGCGGAAUGUGUCAUGUAGCGGUGAAAUGCUUAGAUAUGACACAGAACACCGAUAGCGAAGGCAGCUCACUAAGCUGUAACUGACGCUCAUGCACGAAAGCGUGGGGAUCAAACAGG